rnacentral:lncRNA from 1 species
GGAAGUGAGGCUCCACCUCUUAAAGGGAGGAUUCUCAAAAAUGUGUGAAUAUAUUUAAAAAUCACCGCAGCUUUUUAAUAUUGUCCCAACAAGGCUGUGCAAGAAACAAUCAGGAAAGCUCAGCAGCAUAAAACUGUAAGUGUUUAUAGUUCAUGCAUCUGAGAGUUGCCUGGGCAGCUCCCCUGACCUCAGCAGGGGUCGUUCACACCUUUGAGGAUGGCUUUAUUUAAGCAAGGACAACCUGCUUACAUCAAUGAGAAAACUGGGUCUGAGAAUCCAGAAAUCCUGAGUGAGUAAAGGGAAAAUUUUCACUUCUUCCUGUGGAAGCCUGUCACCCCCCAACUCCAUCCUAGGCUGAGGAAGUCUGCGUUCUUCUCUCACGGAGCUGGAGAACCUUUCAAGGUCAGAAAGGAAAUAGUUAAGUUAUGAAACAAUCUGAGAGUGGAACUGGG